GAUGAACGCUGGCGGUACGCCUAACACAUGCAAGUCGAACGAGUAAACUGAUGACAGAGAACAGAUGACAGAUAUCAGAAACCUGACUUCUGGAUUCCGACUUCUGUUAUCUUGUUUACUAGUGGCGGACGGGUGAGUAACACGUUGGAACCUGCCCCGAAGAGGGGGAUAACUACCCGAAAGGGUGGCUAAUACCCCAUAUACUCCGAUUUAUUCGGAGGAAAGCUUUUGCGCUUCGGGAGGGGCCUGC
rnacentral:rRNA from 1 species